rnacentral:piRNA from 1 species
UAGCUUAAAGUUUCUGAUGGGCUGGC